GACAGAGGGGGCAAGCGUUGCUCGGAAUUAUUGGGCGUAAAGGGCGCGUAGGCGGCUAGAUGUGUCAAAGGUGAAAUCCCUCGGCUCAACUGAGGAACUGCCUUUGAAACUGUCUGGCUUGAGGCCGGGAGAGGGUAGCGGAAUUCCCAGUGUAGCGGUGAAAUGCGUAGAUAUUGGGAGGAACACCAGUGGCGAAGGCGGCUACCUGGACCGGUUCUGACGCUGAGGCGCGAAAGCGUGGGUAGCAAACAGG
rnacentral:rRNA from 1 species